UACGUAGGGGGCAAGCGUUGUCCGGAAUCAUUGGGCGUAAAGAGCGUGUAGGCGGCCCGGUAAGUCCGCUGUAAAAGUCAAAGGCUCAACCUUUGAAUGUCAGUGGAUACUGCCGGGCUAGAGUCCGGAAGAGGCGAGUGGAACUCCUGGCGUAGCGGUGGAAUGCGCAGAUAUCAGGAGGAACACCAAUAGCGAAGGCAGCUCGCUGGGACGGUAUUGACGCUAAGGCGCGAAAGCGUGGGGAGCAAACAGG
rnacentral:rRNA from 1 species